AUGACGUCAAAUCAUCAUGCCCCUUAUGACCUGGGCUACACACGUGCUACAAUGGUUGGUACAACGAGUUGCGAGUCGGUGACGGCGAGCUAAUCUCUUAAAGCCAAUCUCAGUUCGGAUUGUAGGCUGCAACUCGCCUACAUGAAGUCGGAAUCGCUAGUAAUCGCGGAUCAACACGCCGCGGUGAAUACGUUCCCGGGCCUU
rnacentral:rRNA from 1 species